CUCUCGGUAGCUCAGCUGGUAGAGCAAUUGACUCUUAAUCAAUGGGUCACAGGUUCGAAUCCUGUCCGGGAGA
rnacentral:tRNA from 1 species